GUUUGAUCAUGGCUCAGAUUGAACGCUGGCGGCAGGCCUAACACAUGCAAGUCGAACGGUAACAGGAAACAGCUUGCUGUUUCGCUGACGAGUGGCGGACGGGUGAGUAAUGUCUGGGAAACUGCCUGAUGGAGGGGGAUAACUACUGGAAACGGUAGCUAAUACCGCAUAACGUCGCAAGACCAAAGAGGGGGACCUUCGGGCCUCUUGCCAUCGGAUGUGCCCAGAUGGGAUUAGCUAGUAGGUGGGGUAACGGCUCACCUAGGCGACGAUCCCUAGCUGGUCUGAGAGGAUGACCAGCCACACUGGAACUGAGACACGGUCCAGACUCCUACGGGAGGCAGCAGUGGGGAAUAUUGCACAAUGGGCGCAAGCCUGAUGCAGCCAUGCCGCGUGUAUGAAGAAGGCCUUCGGGUUGUAAAGUACUUUCAGCGGGGAGGAAGGGAGUAAAGUUAAUACCUUUGCUCAUUGACGUUACCCGCAGAAGAAGCACCGGCUAACUCCGUGCCAGCAGCCGCGGUAAUACGGAGGGUGCAAGCGUUAAUCGGAAUUACUGGGCGUAAAGCGCACGCAGGCGGUUUGUUAAGUCAGAUGUGAAAUCCCCGGGCUCAACCUGGGAACUGCAUCUGAUACUGGCAAGCUUGAGCCUCGUAGAGGUGGGUAGAAUUCCAGGUGUAGCGGUGAAAUGCGUAGAGAUCUGGAGGAAUACCGGUGGCGAAGGCGGCCCCCUGGACGAAGACUGACGCUCAGGUGCGAAAGCGUGGGGAGCAAACAGGAUUAGAUACCCUGGUAGUCCACGCCGUAAACGAUGUCGACUUGGAGGUUGUGCCCUUGAGGCGUGGCUUCCGGAGCUAACGCGUUAAGUCGACCGCCUGGGGAGUACGGCCGCAAGGUUAAAACUCAAAUGAAUUGACGGGGGCCCGCACAAGCGGUGGAGCAUGUGGUUUAAUUCGAUGCAACGCGAAGAGCCUUACCUGGUCUUGACAUCCACGGAAGUUUUCAGAGAUGAGAAUGUGCCUUCGGGAACCGUGAGACAGGUGCUGCAUGGCUGUCGUCAGCUCGUGUUGUGAAAUGUUGGGUUAAGUCCCGCAACGAGCGCAACCCUUAUCCUUUGUUGCCAGCGGUCCGGCCGGGAACUCAAAGGAGACUGCCAGUGAUAAACUGGAGGAAGGUGGGGGUGACGUCAAGUCAUCAUGACCCUUACGACCAGGGCUACACACGUGCUACAAUGGCGCAUACAAAGAGAAGCGACCUCGCGAGAGCAAGCGGACCUCAUAAAGUGCGUCGUAGUCCGGAUUGGAGUCUGCAACUCGACUCCAUGAAGUCGGAAUCGCUAGUAAUCGUGGAUCAGAAUGCCACGGUGAAUACGUUCCCGGGCCUUGUACACACCGCCCGUCACACCAUGGGAGUGGGUUGCAAAAGAAGUAGGUAGCUUAACCUUCGGGAGGGCGCUUACCACUUUGUGAUUCAUGACUGGGGUGAAGUCGGAACAAGGUAACCGUAGGGGGACC
rnacentral:rRNA from 1 species